rfam:Streptomyces sp. CB01580 scaffold35, whole genome shotgun sequence.
GAAGGUUUUGUGGCCCUUCGGAGCCGCCCUGCGGGGGGAGGCUUCAAACCGCCUCAUGCUGCGUUAGCUGAAGACUGUCGUGGUGAGCGAUGAGGAAAAGGCGUCGUAAGAGGCGUCAGGU